GAAUAUUGGACAAUGGGCGAAAGCCUGAUCCAGCCAUGCCGCGUGUGUGAAGAAGGUCUUCGGAUUGUAAAGCACUUUAAGUUGGGAGGAAGGGCAGUAAGCGAAUACCUUGCUGUUUUGACGUUACCGACAGAAUAAGCACCGGCUAACUCUGUGCCAGCAGCCGCGGUAAUACAGAGGGUGCAAGCGUUAAUCGGAGUUACUGGGCGUAAAGCGCGCGUAGGUGGUUCGUUAAGUUGGAUGUGAAAUCCACGGGCUCAACCUGGGAACUGCAUCCAAAACUGGCGAGCUAGAGUAGGGCAGAGGGUGGUGGAAUUUCCUGUGUAGCGGUGAAAUGCGUAGAUAUGCGGAGGAAUACCGAUGGCGAAGGCAGCCCCCUGGGAUAAUACUGACGCUCAUGCACGAAAGCGUGGGGAGCAAACAG
rnacentral:rRNA from 1 species